ensembl:lncRNA
CCCCGUCCUGGUUAGGCUGCUCCGGCCCCGCCCUGUCACUGGCUCUACAGCUUGCCAAAUGGCACGGCCGUCACGCCAGCACUCCAGCCGGGCCAGAUGCCCACAAUCUGUGGUGGGUUCCAGCGACAGACUGCCUUCACAGGAAGGUCGCCCAGAGGUCAGACAGGCGACAUGUCUUUGAAACGACGUCAUCGAUGGAAGGCCAACGCCUGCCCUCUGCCAAUCACCCCACAGGAUGGAUUGACAGGACAAUGGAGGGGAAACAGCUGGCAUCCCCUCUGCUCUUCGCCACUCGCAUGUCGAGUGUCCUUUGGUACGCCAGGGACUCCAUCAGCUGUGCGAAGCUAGUUCACGAAUCAUUGUUUCUGAAUUAUUUUUGCGUUUGGUUAUCUCUUUCCACUAUGGCGAGCAGAGAGUGGCUGUGUGGAUACAGCUGCUAACUAUAGACCCUUCAAACAUAGUUUCCCGAACAUUACUGGGAUAACUUUUCAGGCAUUGCUUGUGAUUCACACACGCACGCUCCGUUCUGGAACAUUUCCGCCUUGCGUCCUUUCACACAUGGCGUAGCAACGCUGGAUUCGACUGGCCCAGUGAUCCUCCGGCAUGUGGCGGUACUGCAGCACUUAAAAAACCGUUAAAAUGUGCAGACUGAGAGGAGUUCCUCUUAUUUCAGAAUCUGGCCAGUUUCAAGACAUUCUGGAAAAAAGAAGCUUGUUCGCGAGCAAAUAAUCUGCAUUUAUAUUGUUAUUGAAUCACCCAAACAGCAUUAGUAUGUAAAGAUAAUCGGUCUCACAAUCAAAUACGUCCUCAGCGGUGUCUUGAGAUUGGUUCACUUGCUUCAUGAGAGUGUCUUACGUCCCGUAUACAUUUGCCUCUCCUGCCUAGAUUACUGCUUUCAUUCACCUCACAGCUGUACAGGCAGUGAUCCAGAAAGUUUACUAGUCUCGAGCCGGCAAAUUGCAGGUGCAGAUUCACCGGAAAUUGAUCCCUGUUCCCCUUCACACAUGAACCCAUUCAGGAAGUCUAGUGGAACUUUCCAGGGAAAGACUGCACGUGUGAAAGGGGCUUAUCACUGCAGUCCAGAACUAGGGAGGAGAAGACACAAAGGCAGAAACCAACACAAAAAUGACAUGGGAAGGGUUAGAUGGGAAGGGUUAAAAAAAGGAAAAAAAGAGUGUUUAGUCUAGUGUCUAGUGUUUAGUCACUCCAAAUGGAGAACAGAUAAGUGGAUUAACUGUGAAUUUAGGACAUGAAAUCAGUCUUCUUGUUUUAGAAAAUGUCUUUGUAUGCAUUUACUAUCAGAAGAUAGUGCAUUGCUUUAGGCUGCUUAAUGUAGUGCUUCUUAGAAUGGUCUCAUUGAAGAGUUAUGUGUGUGUGCGUGUGUAUGUGUGUGUGUUUGUGUGUUUGUGUGGGUGUGUGUGUGCGUGGUAUCGUAGCCCUAUAGGGCGUGGGAGGUGUAGCUAGCUCGCUAGUUUCACUCUUAUCACAUCACCAAGAAAUGUGGAGAAUGAGAAUCCCGGGUUCAGCUCCAUGGAUCAAAACAAAGAGAAACAAACACAGAGGCUGGGUUUAGCAUGCGCCCGCUCACUCCUUUACAAACUCACACACACACACACACACACACACACACACACACACACACACACACACACACACACACACACACACACACACACACACACACACA